rnacentral:rRNA from 1 species
UACAGAGGGUGCGAGCGUUAAUCGGAAUUACUGGGCGUAAAGCGUGCGCAGACGGUCAUGUAAGUCGGGUGUGAAAGCCCCGGGCUCAACCUGGGAAUUGCAUUCGAGACUGCAUGGCUAGGGUGCGGAAGAGGGAAGCGGAAUUUCCGGUGUAGCGGUGAAAUGCGUAGAUAUCGGAAGGAACACCAGUGGCGAAAAGCGGCUUCCUGGUCCAGCACCGACGUUCAGGCACGAAAGCGUGGGGAGCAAACAGG